AGAGUUUGAUCCUGGCUCAGGAUGAACGCUGGCGGCGUGCCUUACACAUGCAAGUCGAGCGGAGAGCGUCUUUUGGGGCAACCCAGAAGAUUCUCUUAGCGGCAAACGGGUGAGUAAUGGAUGAGUAACCUCCCCAGAAGAUGGGAAUAGCCUUCCGAAAGGAAGGGUAAUACCCAAUAAUGUUAGAAGAUUAAGGUCUUCUAAAGAAAGGUGGCGCAAGCUACCACUUUUGGAUGGGCUCAUCUCCUAUCAGCUAGUUGGUGAGGUAAUGGCUUACCAAGGCUAUGACGGGUAGCUGGUCUGAGAGGAUGGUCAGCCACACUGGGACUGAGACACGGCCCAGACUCCUACGGGAGGCAGCAGUGGGGAAUAUUGGUCAAUGGGCGAAAGCCUGAACCAGCGACGCCGCGUGAGGGAUGAAGGCCGAAAGGUCGUAAACCUCUUUUGUAAGGGAAAAAGGAACGGAGUGCGAAUAGUGCUCUGUUUUUGAUUGUACCUUGCGAAUAAGCCCCAGCCAACUACGUGCCAGCAGCUGCGGUAAAACGUAGGGGGCGAGCGUUAUCCGGAAUUACUGGGUGUAAAGGGUACGUAGGCGGAUUUGCAAGUUGGGUAUAAAAACUUGGGGCUUAACCUCAAGCUUGUGCUCAAUACUGCAAGUCUGGAGAGCAGGAGAGGGAAGUGGAAUUCCCGGUGUAGCGGUAAAAUGCGUAGAUAUCGGGAGGAACACCAGUGGCGAAGGCGGCUUCCUGGCCUGUCUCUGACGCUCAUGUACGAAAGCUAGGGGAGCAAACAGGAUUAGAUACCCUGGUAGUCCUAGCCCUAAACGAU
rnacentral:rRNA from 1 species